AUUGAACGCUGGCGGCAGGCCUAACACAUGCAAGUCGAGCGGAUGAGAGGAGCUUGCUCCUCGAUUCAGCGGCGGACGGGUGAGUAAUGCCUAGGAAUCUGCCUAGUAGUGGGGGACAACGUUUCGAAAGGAACGCUAAUGCCGCAUACGUCCUACGGGAGAAAGUGGGGGAUCUUCGGACCUCACGCUAUUAGAUGAGCCUAGGUCGGAUUAGCUAGUUGGUAGGGUAAAGGCCUACCAAGGCGACGAUCCGUAACUGGUCUGAGAGGAUGAUCAGUCACACUGGAACUGAGACACGGUCCAGACUCCUACGGGAGGCAGCAGUGGGGAAUAUUGGACAAUGGGCGAAAGCCUGAUCCAGCCAUGCCGCGUGUGUGAAGAGGGUCUCGGAUUGUAAAGCACUUUAAGUUGGGAGGAAGGGCAGUAAGCUAAUACCUUGCUGUUUUGACGUUACCGACAGAAUAAGCACCGGCUAACUCUGUGCCAGCCGCCGCUGUAA
rnacentral:rRNA from 1 species